UUGUUACUCCCUCCGUCCGAAAAUACUUGUCAUCAAAAUGGAUAAAAAGGGAUGUAUCUAAAACUAAAAUACGUCUAGAUACAUCCCCUUUUAUUCAUUUUGAUGACAAGUAUUUCGGGACGGAGGGAGUACAAU
rnacentral:pre_miRNA from 1 species